UACGAAGGGGGCUAGCGUUGCUCGGAAUCACUGGGCGUAAAGGGUGCGUAGGCGGGUCUUUAAGUCAGGGGUGAAAUCCUGGAGCUCAACUCCAGAACUGCCUUUGAUACUGAAGAUCUUGAGUUCGGGAGAGGUGAGUGGAACUGCGAGUGUAGAGGUGAAAUUCGUAGAUAUUCGCAAGAACACCAGUGGCGAAGGCGCUCACUGGCCCGAUACUGACGCUGAUGCGCGAAAGCCAGGGGAGCGGAACGGG
rnacentral:rRNA from 1 species